ACCUCUUAACUGCUCCCUUUAUGAUAAGGACAUAGGGUAUGUAUCAGAGAAGAAAUCUUGCUGUCAGUUCCACGAAUCAAGUUACAGGAGCUCCUCUGGCUUUACACUGACAAGGCAUAAAUACAGCCCCUUUGAAUUAUUUUUUUUUUGUUUGCAAGAUCGGGCAUCUGGGUUUCCUGCUACCAUUUCCUCUGUCCCCUCCCAGAGAGCCCAGGGCUGCUCUGCUCUGAGGAACACCAGCCUCAAUGUCCAAAUGUCCCUGCUGGAGGUGUGAUCAUUGAAGUCAGCAGGACUCAGGGACGGUGAGGCUGAUACUCCCAGGACUGAUAUUGCCAACUCACAGAGCCAACAAGCCUCUUUUGGAAGCUCCACAAUACUCUGCUUAGGAAUGCUGAACCAAAUGGGAAUACACUUCCUGACCUGGAAAGUGUUUGUGGUCUUUCAUAACACUUUGUUCUCUGCACUUGAUAAAUCCACAUUUUUUUCCCCAGAAGUUUUUUUUUUUUUUUUUUUUUUUUUUUUUUUUUUUUUUAAACCCGCAACACUUCGAAAAUGUCAAAUUCCUGCGGCAGCCCAGAAGACGCGGGGAGGCAGCGAGGCAGAGAUGGCAAGAUAAGGAGGGAGGAUGGGGAUGUGGAUGAUUGCCAGCCGGAGGGAAAGAGGCUGAGGCUGGGCAGCGAAGGAGGGAAGGAGCCAGGAGCAGCAGACGCGGUGAUGCCUUGCUCAGGCAGAGAAGAGCCCGUGCCCGGAGCAGGAGGCGAAGGCAAAAGUGUGUGUGUGCUUCAAGCAGCUGGGCUCUGAUACAGGUUGGUGCCCUGAAGCUGCUGCUGCAAAGGAAGGACUCAACAACCAGUGGAAUGAGGAGAAGGGAAAAUGUACCUGCAUGUAAUAUUUGACAUCUCCUGCUCUGAGUUAUGUGAAGUAGCAAGCUGUUGAUGAGAUUUAUUGGAUGGCAAGCUGAAGCUGAGCUGUUUAAAGAUCCCAUGGUCUAUGGCAAAACAGCUGCAGGAAGGUUGCUCUUUUUGAAGUGCUGCAAGUUUGACUAUAAAUCUGAUGUUAUGACUCUGGUUUCCAGUGCCAAGAACAGUCCUCAAGGUCCAGCAUAUCACCAUUUCCCAAUGUCAAACAUAACCUUGAUAACCAACAGAAAAACUGAGGAUCUUGUAAGGCUGGUUAGUCUCAGGAUGCAAAUUUCACAGCAAAUGGAACCCAUUAACAAGAUUAGCAAUGCAAAAAGGCAAAGCUCAAGAGGAGGAGUUUAAGGAGUGAUGGCAGGUUAAAAUGGAGCAAGG
rnacentral:lncRNA from 1 species